rnacentral:rRNA from 1 species
GACGAACGCUGGCGGCGUGCCUAACACAUGCAAGUCAACUUGACUGAAGGAGCAAUCUGACAGUAGAGUGGCGCAAGGGUGCGUAACGCGUAAGUAACUUGCCCCAAGGUAAGGAAUAACGUCGAGAAAUCGGCGCUAAUACCUCAUAAUGCAGCGGAUCCGCAUGGAUAUGUUGUUAAAGGUUUACCGCCUUGGGAUAGGCUUGCGUCUGAUUAGCUAGUUGGUGUGGUAACGGCACACCAAGGCUACGAUCAGUAACUGGUCUGAGAGGAUGAUCAGUCACACUGGAACUGAGACACGGUCCAGACUCCUACGGGAGGCAGCAGUGAGGAAAUAUUGGGUCGAAUAGCUCGAAAGAAGUA